CUGACCUCAGGUGAUCCACCCACCUCGACCUCCCAAAGUGCUGGGAUUCCAGGCAUGAGCCCCUGUGCCCAGCUGACACAGCUCCUUCUGCAGAGCAAGCCAUGGGCCACAGCCAGGACCGACUCACCACUUUCCAGGAGAACCAAGCCCGCACUCACGUCCUCAGCAAGGAGGUCCAGCACCUCCGGGAGGAGAAGUCCAAGCAGUUCCUGGACUUGAUGGAGACUAUUGAUAAGCAGCGAGAAGAGAUGGCCAAGAGCAGCAGGGCGUCGGCAGCCCGUGUAGGGCAGCUUCAGGAAGCCCUGAAUGAGAGGCACUCCAUCAUCAACGCUCUCAAGGCCAAGCUGCAGAUGACAGAGGCUGCCCUGGCUCUGUCGGAGCAGAAGGCCCAGGACCUGGGGGAGCUCCUGGCCACAGCGGAGCAGGAGCAGCUGAGCCUGUCACAGAGGCAGGCCAAGGAGCUCAAGCUGGAGCAGCAGGAAGCUGCAGAGCGGGAGUCUAAACUCCUCAGAGACUUGUCUGCUGCCAAUGAAAAGAACCUGCUUCUGCAAAACCAGGUAGACGAGUUGGAGCGGAAGUUCAGGUGUCAGCAGGAGCAGCUGUUCCAGACCAGGCAGGAGAUGACCAGCAUGUCAGCUGAGCUGAAGAUGCGGGCCAUCCAGGCCGAGGAGCGCCUGGACAUGGAGAAGAGAAGAUGCAGACAGAGCCUGGAGGACUCAGAAAGCCUGCGCAUCAAGGAGGUACCCUCUUUGUUGGCCUCUAACGCGCCUCAGUCUCUGGUCUUGAUGUCACGCAGGUGUCCCCAAAGCACACACCUGGUGGGAGCUUCCCUUGCCAACCUUGGGUCACUGGGUGGCCGUAUUUUGCCAGCCUGAUCGGAUGUCAGACCCAGAACCUCCUAUUGGGGGCGGCGGGGGGACCCCGGUGAUGUCUGAGCCAUAGUACAGGCUGCCGUUGAAGAGACACCAAGGCCCACUUGUUCAGGGUGUGCAUGCUGCGGUAGUUUCCUGCUAGGCCAUCUGAGGCAGUGCUUUCUCAGAAUGAACAAGGUUCUCAAGAGACACCUGCCUUCCAGGGUGGGGAGUCCGUGAGGGGAAGGUAGGGAGGCCCCGCUCUCCACUCUGGCCCCACAAUCCCUGCCCCUGAGCAGGUGGAGCAUAUGACCCGUCACCUGGAGGAGAGUGAGAAGGCCAUGCAGGAGCGGGUGCAGAGGCUGGAGGCGGCGCGGCUGUCCCUGGAGGAGGUGAGUGCCCGCCAGGCAGGGCCAAGCUCUGCCUUAGCCCUGGGCUG
rnacentral:sRNA from 1 species